rnacentral:rRNA from 1 species
CCUACGGGUGGCUGCAGUGGGGAAUCUUGCACAAUGGGGGAAACCCUGAUGCAGCGACGCCGCGUGAGCGAUGAAGCCCUUCGGGGUGUAAAGCUCUUUCGACGGGAACGAUAAUGACGGUACCCGGAGAAGAAGCUGCGGCUAACUACGUGCCAGCAGCCGCGGUAAUACGUAGGCAGCAAGCGUUGUUCGGAGUUACUGGGCGUAAAGAGUACGUAGGCGGUUUGCUAAGUCUGGUGUGAAAUCUCCUGGCUUAACUGGGAGGGUGCGCUAGAUACUGGCAGGCUUGAGUAUGGGAGAGGAGAGUGGAAUUCCUGGUGUAGCGGUGAAAUGCGUAGAUAUCAGGAGGAACGCCGGUGGUGUAGACGGCUCUCUGGACCAUUACUGACGCUGAGGUACGAAAGCGUGGGUAGCAAACAGGAUUAGAUACCCUAGUAGUC